UACAGAGGUCUCAAGCGUUGUUCGGAUUCACUGGGCGUAAAGGGUGCGCAGGCGGCCAAGUGUGUGAGGCGUGAAAGCCUGGAGCUUAACUCCAGAAUUGCACCUCAAACUACAUGGCUAGAGCAUUGGAGAGGGUAGCGGAAUUCACGGUGUAGCAGUGAAAUGCGUAGAUAUCGUGAGGAACACCAGAGGCGAAGGCGGCUACCUGGACAAUUGCUGACGCUCAGGCACGAAAGCGUGGGGAGCAAAAGGG
rnacentral:rRNA from 1 species